rnacentral:rRNA from 1 species
GAUGAACGCUGGCGGCGUGCCUAAUACAUGCAAGUCGAGCGAACAGAUGAGGAGCUUGCUCCUCUGACGUUAGCGGCGGACGGGUGAGUAACACGUGGAUAACCUACCUAUAAGACUGGGAUAACUUCGGGAAACCGGAGCUAAUACCGGAUAAUAUAUUGAACCGCAUGGUUCAAUAGUGAAAGACGGUUUUGCUGUCACUUAUAGAUGGAUCCGCGCCGCAUUAGCUAGUUGGUAAGGUAACGGCUUACCAAGGCAACGAUGCGUAGCCGACCUGAGAGGGGAAUCGGCCACACUGGAACUGAGACACGGUCCAGACUCCUACGGGAGGCAGCAGUAGGGAAUCUUCCGCAAUGGGCGAAAGCCUGACGGAGCAACGCCGCGUGAGUGAUGAAGGUCUUCGGAUCGUAAAACUCUGUUAUUAGGGAAGAACAAAUGUGUAAGUAACUAUGCACGUCUUGACGGUGCCUAAGCAGAAAGCCACGGCUAACUACGU